rnacentral:rRNA from 1 species
AACGAACGCUGGCGGCAUGCCUAACACAUGCAAGUCGAACGAGACCUUCGGGUCUAGUGGCGCACGGGUGCGUAACGCGUGGGAACCUGCCCUUAGGUUCGGAAUAACUCCCCGAAAGGGGUGCUAAUACCGGAUAAUGUCUUCGGACCAAAGAUUUAUCGCCUUUGGAUGGGCCCGCGUUGGAUUAGCUAGUUGGUAGGGUAAAAGCCUACCAAGGCGACGAUCCAUAGCUGGUCUGAGAGGAUGAUCAGCCACACUGGGACUGAGACACGGCCCAGACUCCUACGGAAGGCAGCAGGGGGGAAUAUUGGACAAUGGGCGAAAGCCUGAUCCAGCAAUGCCGCGUGAGUGAUGAAGGCCUUAGGGUUGUAAAGCUCUUUUACCCGGGAUGAUAAUGACAGUACCGGGAGAAUAAGCUCCGGCUAACUCCGU